CUCGUAGGUGGUUGGUCACGUCUGCUGUGGAAACGCAACGCUUAACGUUGCGCGUGCAGUGGGUACGGGCUGACUAGAGUGCAGUAGGGGAGUCUGGAAUUCCUGGUGUAGCGGUGAAAUGCGUAGAUAUUAGGAGGAACACCAGUGGCGAAGGCGGCUUGCUGGACGAUAACUGACGCUGAGGCGCGAAAGCGUGGGGAGCAAACAGGAUUAGAUACCCUGGUA
rnacentral:rRNA from 1 species